UCGAUAAAGCCGUUUUCGAGAAAAUCGAAUUUGGCAUAACAACGAUUAACAUCUGCGAAGCUAGUACAGUACAGUAGUACUAGUAGGUUUCCUAGACUUUGUCAUUGCUAUUAUAUAAACAUAAAAAUUUCGAAUGCUCUGCAAUUUGUUUUAUUCAAAUCGUUUAAGCCGUUUUCGAGAAAAUUAAAUUUUAGUGAUUAUUGCCAAACAAAUAUUAUCACGCUUUAUGAAUCUUGGUGGCAACUCUGGAAAAUAACGGAAUAAUGUUGUAUGUUCUGUUAAAUUGCUGCACAACAAGUGAUUUAUAAAGUUAAAAGUUUAUAAAGUGAAAGUAAAAAAUAUAUUGAAAAUGCCACGUAAAUUUAUGUCCACCAAAUCGUAAGUUCUGAUUGCGGUCAACUUGGCCUAGGUAGCUAUCUUAGCAUCCGCUAGAUAGUGAGCUAAUGUGUGCAGCGUGUCAUCCGGACGGUAAAUGGUUGAGUGCAGGGUUUGGAACCCGCCUCGGAAAAAAGAAGCCCAAGGUAAACCAAAGCGAAUGCCUCGGAUAGGAUCCCCCCUUAUGUUGACGACCACCGCAAAAUGAAAAAGGACUACGAUUUAAGGAUAUGCACCUGGAAUGUCCGAACCCUUAAUUGGGAAGGUGCCUCUAUCCAACUGGCGGAUGCCCUCGAAAAUUUCCCCGACAUUUCCGCUAUCCAGGAAAUGAGAUGGACAGGACAAGGUUGCUCCAAGCGAGCAAACUGCGAUAUCUACUACAGCUGCCAUGCGGAAAGGCGAAUUUGGAUGCGGAUUUGUAGUAAGCCGAAGACUUCGCCACCACGUCUCCAAUUUCACCCCAGUGAGUGAACGGCUGGCUACAAUCCGCGUCAAAGCUAGAUUUUUCAAUCUUAGCAGAAGGGCGAUGCUGUUAAGGAUGCAUUCUACGCGAGACUCGAGGACACAUACGACCGCUGCCCAAACCAUGACGUGAAGAUCAUCCUCGGGGACCUCAACGCAAUGGUUGGGCACGAACGCAUCUUUGACCGCACCGUCGGUCAAUUCAGCCUCCAUGAGACCACCUCGAACAACGGUUUCAGGCUGAUUGACUUCGCCGCGGCGCGAAACAUGGUAGUGAGUAGCACCAGAUUUCGGCACCUCGACAUCCACAAGGACACAUGGCUGUCCCCUGAUCAAAAAACGCGCAACUAGAUUGAUCACGUUGUGAUAGACGGAAGGCAUGCCUCAAGCGUGAUGGACGUGCGUACGUUUCGUGGAGUCAACAUAGACUCGGACCACUAUCUUGUCGCAGCCAAGAUACGCAUGCGGCUAUGCCGAGCGAAAAACGUACACCCCAUCACGCAACGAAAGCUUGACGUCACUAGGCUGUGAUCACAACGGACAGCAACAGCUUACUCCACUCACCUCUCAGAACUGCUCCUCUCCCUGUUGACGCCGGCGGACUCUGGGCGCACAUAUCCCACUCCAUGCGAGCUGCCGCUGAAACAGCCAUUGGGUUCAAGUGCCCACCCACACGGAGCCAAUGGUAUGACGAGGAGUGUCGCGUCGCAGCUGCGGCAAAAAACGCCGCCUACAGAAAAACGCUGCAGUCUGGCGCAACGCGAGCUACGUGUGAACGUUACAGGGAAAAAAGGAAGGAAAAAAGGAAGGAAGAGAGGCGACUCCUUAGACGGAAAAAACGGGUGCAAGAAAAGCUAGAAUGCGUGGUGUUGCAAGACAGAAAUGAUGCUCGAAAAUGUUACCAUCAAAUCAACCGUCUGACUCAAGGUUUCAAGACCGGAGCAUCUAACUGUCGAGAUGAAAAUGGAAAUCUGGUUACAGAUACGCAGUGCACGCUGAGGUUAUGGAGAGCGCAUUUCUCCAAGCUGCUAGCAGGCGAUGACGGCACCAAUCCCGCCAUUGGAGGAAACGGCCCGAUACCACCAAUCGACGACAAUGUGGAUAUACCACUACCUAGCCAUGACGAGGUCCGAGUUGCUAUUAAGCGACUCAAAAACAACAAAGCAGCCGGUGCUGAUGGACUGCCUCCUAUCGAGCGUAAUAUGUGAACGACUGAAGCCGUAUACCAGCACACUGAUCGGACUUUAUCAGUGCGGCUUCAGACCUGUUAAAUCCACCAUAGACCAGAUCUUCACAUUGCGCCAAAUCCUGGAGAAAACCCACGAAAAUGGAAUUGACACACAUCAUCUCUUUUUCGAUUACAAAGCUGCAUUCGAUAGCCCGACAAGGAAACGCCUAUAUGCCACCAUGUCUGAGUUCGGUAUUCCUGCAAAGCUGAUACGUCUUUGCAGGAUGACAUUGAGCAGCACCAUUAGCUCUGUCAAGGUAGGAACGAACCUCUCCGAACCUUUCAAUACCUUUCAAGUUUUCAGACAAGGAGUCGAAAAAGGGUCAGAAAAGUGGGUUUGGCGGUAAACGAGGGCAAGACGAAGUAUAUGCUGUCGACAAGCAGGGAGGCGCGGCGCCUAGACUCCCAUGGGGUAGCAGGAGUUCACGUACCUUGGCAUAGCCAUUAACACCAAAAAUGACGUCAGCCUGGAGAUCAAGUGAAGAAUCACACUUGCCAUUAGGUGCUACUUUGGUCUGAGUAGGCAAAUGUGCAAUAGAGACCUCUCGCGCCGAACAAAAUUAGCACUCUACAUGACACUCAUCCUACCCGUGCUCUUAUGUUAUAUGGCGCAGAAGCAUGGGUAGUGUCAAUGACAUAUGCAGCAGCGCUUGGAGUGUUCGAGAGAAAAAUUCUUCGCAAGAUCUUCGGUCCCGUUCGGAUUGGGGACGACUUUCGCAUUCGGAUGAACCACGAGCUGUACGAGUUGUACGACUACGUAGACGUGGUCCGGAGCAUCACGAUACAACGUCUGCGCUGGCUCGGCCACGUUGUGCGUAUGGAUGAAGAAUCUCCAGCUCAGAAGGUAUUCGAAGCGAGAGUCGACUACGAGCGACGACGAAGGGGACGACCAAAUCUCCGAUGGAAGGACCAAGUACAGCAGGACCUCAAUCUACUGGGUAUUUCCAAUUGGAGGAGGCGUGCGAAGAGCGGAGACGCUGAGGUCGGCCAAAACCAAACCAAAACGAAAUGGGUUGUAGUGCCACCUAAUAAUAAAAAAAAUCCAACUACGGAUAUAAGGCUGCUAUACAGGAGGCAGUUUCCGAGGGUCUAAUUUCCGGAAGCACACUUUCGAUGUUGGAUUGCAAAAUAUUGUUGUACAAACUAAAUAGCAAGACUCAUUAUGCCUUGCUAAAGUGUAAGUAUUAAAAAUUUGAACUUAAUAUAUGUCGGAAAGUAAGUAAUGCAGCAUCGGCACAUUGUCACUGCACAGUUGUAAGUGCGUCUCGGCACAUUGACACUGCGUAGUUGUGAGUAUGCAUGUUAAUAUUGCAUUAUCCUUUAUUUGUGCUGUGAUUGGUUGUCUGCAUUUUGUAGCUUUGAGAAGAACCGUUAAUGCAGGGCGACUGCGUAUCGUCGCUGUUGCCGAGUGUGGUUCGAUGGUUCAGACGUAGACAGUAAGAUGGUCAAGCGGGCAGUGUGCUCUAGAAUUCGCCUGUGAAAGCAUCGGAACGCGCUUCGCUGAAAUGGACAAUCAAGCUUCGGCAGAACAAACAAAAAGCGUAUCUAAUAAGCUACUUGGUACUAGGAUUCAUAAUGUUAUCUCUUUAAAGGGAAUAGUGCCAGACGAAUGCAUGAAGAAUAAUAUUGUAAUUGGCAGACAGAUAUUGGCUCAAAGGUUCUCAGCGGAAGUUUCGUACGAUAAUAAUAAGAUUGUCCAAACUAAAGUUGUGAACAUUUGCGAAACCGAUCAACCCACUAAUUUCGAUGCCAUUGAAACUGAAAUGAAACAAUACUCAAAAUCUUUUAUUGAAGGCACUCCGCAAACGCGGG